rnacentral:rRNA from 1 species
AUUGAACGCUGGCGGCAGGCCUAACACAUGCAAGUCGAGCGGAUGAAGGGAGCUUGCUCCUGGAUUCAGCGGCGGACGGGUGAGUAAUGCCUAGGAAUCUGCCUGGUAGUGGGGGAUAACGUCCGGAAACGGGCGCUAAUACCGCAUACGUCCUGAGGGCGAACGUGGGGGAUCUUCGGACCUCACGCUAUCAGAUGAGCCUAGGUCGGAUUAGCUAGUUGGUGGGGUAAAGGCCUACCAAGGCGACGAUCCGUAACUGGUCUGAGAGGAUGAUCAGUCACACUGAAACUGAGACACGGUCCAGACUCCUACGGGAGGCAGCAGUGGGGAAUAUUGGACAAUGGGCGAAAGCCUGAUCCAGCCAUGCCGCGUGUGAAGAAGGUCUUCGGAUUGUAAAGCACUUUAAGUUGGGAGGAAGGGCAGUAAGUUAAUACCUUGCUGUUUUGACGUUACCAACAGAAUAAGCACCGGCUAACUUCGUG